rnacentral:lncRNA from 1 species
CUCCCGGUAAUCACUCAUUUCUUCGUCUUUGGCAGCCUGCUCUUUAGGUACCCGUGAAUCUAAAUCCAUAUAAAGCCAAUUUGCUGGAAUUGUUACGUCAGUUCUCGAUGUAUUUGGCAACAAGAUUGAAUCUUCGCCGAAUACCAACAAUAUAAAAUUCUUGUUGUUCCCAUCUAGAUCCCUUACCAUAUGUAUCUGUUUACAUAAAUCAAUAUCAAUGGUAUAGUUUCCAUCAAUGCCAAUUUCUUGUGUUGCACUUCUCGCU